rnacentral:rRNA from 1 species
AACGAACGCUGGCGGCAGGCCUAACACACGCAAGUCGAACGCCGUAGCAAUACGGAGUGGCAGACGGGUGCGUAACACGUGGGAACAUACCCUUUGGUUCGGAAUAACUCAGGGAAACUUGAGCUAAUACCGGAUAAGCCCUUACGGGGAAAGAUUUAUCGCCAAAGGAUUGGCCCGCGUCUGAUUAGCUAGUUGGUGAGGUAACGGCUCACCAAGGCGACGAUCAGUAGCUGGUCUGAGAGGAUGAUCGGCCACACUGGGACUGAGACACGGCCCAGACUCCUACGGGAGGCAGCAGUGGGGAAUAUUGGACAAUGGGCGCAAGCCUGAUCCAGCCAUGCCGCGUGAGUGAUGAAGGCCUUAGGGUUGUAAAGCUCUUUUACCCGGGAAGAUAAUGACGGUACCGGGAGAAUAAGCCCC